rnacentral:rRNA from 1 species
UACGUAGGGGGCAAGCGUUGUCCGGAUUUACUGGGCGUAAAGAGCGCGUAGGCGGCCAAGCAGGUCCGUUGUGAAAACUGGAGGCUUAACCUCCAGACGUCGACGGAAACCGCGUGGCUAGAGUCCGGAAGAGGAGAGUGGAAUUCCUGGUGUAGCGGUGAAAUGCGCAGAUAUCAGGAAGAACACCAAUGGCGAAGGCAGCUCUCUGGGACGGUACUGACGCUGAGACGCGAAAGCGUGGGGAGCGAACAGG